GUCAUCAUCAUCAUUAUCAUCAUCAUCAUUAUCUCUAAUAUGAUGAUGAUAAUAAAUAUAACUCUUUCUUCACUAUUAUCACCUUUUAUGUACAUUCUCAGCUUUCUUUGCAAUCAUUGAUACUUAUCCACACCCCCAAUAGCAUUACAUUCCCUUCUGUGGUGUCUUUAUCACCUCCUGACCCGCCCUACUUCAGUUAUACCUUUCCCUUCUCACUUCCCUCUAACACAAUAUAUUUCUCUCCCACAGGUAACUCCUGCCUCCAGCACCACCGCCAUAUACUCGCCUCGCUCUCUCUCUCUCUCUCCCUGCCGGCCAUAUUGACACUCAGGUAACGUGAUAUGACCAGUGCCGGGAAUCUGAUGGCGCGGAAUGUGCUGAGGAUAGUGAAUGGGGGAGAAGGCAUGAUGCUACUCAUGCUGCGGCCUGUCUCCCUCCUGUCCUGUCCAGCUCCGCCUCACGCAGUCCAUGCCCCCGCCUCCCUUCGCGACCCGUCUUGUGUCACAUCAUGCGGCUGUUGCUUGCAAAGGGCGGGCUCGAGCUCCAAAGUUUAUUAGCCUUAGCCCUCGACAUGUCACUUAGCACACACACACACACACACACACACACACACACACACACACACACACACACACGUGCCGGCCUCACCCGCGCACUAAUAAUGGUAUAGUUCAUUCUGCUACUCUUGUUUUUCCGUGGCAGCAAAGAAUCCAGUAUUUGUGAAUUCGUAUUUAUUGUUGAAAUUUAUCGCUUAUUAAACAAUUACGAGCAUAAAUCAAACUGCGUAAUGCGA